rnacentral:rRNA from 1 species
CCUACGGGUGGCUGCAGUGGGGAAUAUUGGACAAUGGGGGCAACCCUGAUCCAGCCAUGCCGCGUGUGUGAAGAAGGCCCUCGGGUUGUAAAGCACUUUCAGUGAGGAAGAACGCCUGGUGGUUAAUACCCAUCAGGAAAGACAUCACUCACAGAAGAAGCACCGGCUAACUCCGUGCCAGCAGCCGCGGUAAUACGGAGGGUGCGAGCGUUAAUCGGAAUUACUGGGCGUAAAGCGCGCGUAGGUGGCUUGAUAAGCCGGAUGUGAAAGCCCCGGGCUCAACCUGGGAACGGCAUCCGGAACUGUCAAGCUAGAGUGCAGGAGAGGAAGGUAGAAUUCCCGGUGUAGCGGUGAAAUGCGUAGAGAUCGGGAGGAAUACCAGUGGCGAAGGCGGCCUUCUGGACUGACACUGACACUGAGGUGCGAAAGCGUGGGUAGCAAACAGGAUUAGAUACCCUAGUAGUC